rnacentral:piRNA from 1 species
UAGCUAAUUCUUAAAUGUUUGGCCUUCCU